rnacentral:lncRNA from 1 species
UAUCUAAUCAUCAAUAAAAAUCAUAAUCAUUAGAUACAUCCAUCAAUUUUGCACAUCCAAAGCAUCAGAAACAAUCUACAUAACAGUUCUCAGCUUACAAGGAUAACCAUCAGUUUUGCAUAUCCAAAGCAAUACAAGCAAAGUACAUCAUAGUUCAUCUAAAGUCUUGCAACUACCAAAAUGCUACCUUGUUGCAAACACCACCUUUAGUUCUAAAGUCUUGCAACUAGCAAAAUGCUGCUUUGUUGCCAACACCAACAUUAAUUCUAAAGUCUGGCUCCAAGUCAACAAAAGGCACUACCAAGGUUACAACAACCAUCUAUGAUUCUAGGUCUCAGUUUCACGAAUGUUAUAACUAGUGUCGCCACCACCAGCACUAACAUUGUUGUCACUGGUAUUCCCACUGGAGUUGUCAGCACCACCAUUUGCACCCAGAUCAUCAUCACCAGUGUUGUCAUCGGUGGCUUGGGGUCUCAUAUGAGAUGAAUUAGGUGUCCCCUACAUCAUAGCAUUAAUUUAGACACCAGGAGAGCUUAUGGAGUAUUUUCUUUUAAAAGAAAAAUAGCAAAAUAAGUAGUAGUUAACUGUACAAUAAACUGGAUAUGUUCCUCAGUUGGUAAAGGAAUUGUUGAGACUGAAAAUAUACAAUAUUCUAAGUAUAUAUCUAGAUAUGAGGAUGUACAGUCCUGUAGCACAGGAAUGACACAAAGGUUAAAAUUAUUUCUUUAAAAUCUUCUCAUGGACUGGAUUGGCAUUGUAGCUUAGGGUUGCGUGUCAGUUUAAUAUAAUAUAAAAAAAUUAAUCGUGAGCAGGCCUAGUACAAGAAUAAUUUUUGCUGAUGGUUAAGAAAAUCGGGUUUGCACAGCAUUAACUUGUCACAGAACCUCAAGAAAAUCGGGUUUGCAUAGCAUUAACUUGGCACAGCAUUAAAUGGAUCCAACCACGCUGAGUGUAGGUUUGGGUGCACCAUGGUCCAGAAAAUCAUGUGUGUAUAGAUAUUCCAAUGAUUAAGAUACGAAGCUUUAAGAUAUCAAUGUUUCAAUUGGGAAAUCUAGUAUGCCGAGAAGGCUAUGUGCAAAAACUUACAUGUGGUUGGGAACUCGCUCCUUGGUGUAGCUCCAUUGGUAGUUCUUUUCCCAUCUCCUUAAAAAGGGCCUAUGAAAAAAAUAUGCAUCAUUAGAAUAGCUAGUUUUUUCAAUCACCAAUCUGAAAUAUGUGGACAAAUUUGAAAGUACCACUAGGAUCCGUUCAUGCAUAUCCACUUUAUGUUGCAGGUUCUCAUUAUGUCACUGCAGGU